CCCAAAGGGAGGCGGAACUUUUUCUUUCCCAGCCGAGUUAGCAGACAAGUCCUAGUGCAACUAGGAAGGACGGUAGGAAGUUUCGAACGCCCACAUUCAAACUGGGAAAAUGGCACCAAGCACACAAGUGAAUGAAGCGGUGUCCGACGUACGGAAGGGGAUUCGAGCUAUCCUGCUCGGACCUCCUGGCGCUGGGAAAGGGACACAGGCUCCCAGAUUGGCCGAGCAGUACUGUGUGUGUCAUCUGGCCACAGGAGACAUGCUCAGAGCCAUGGUGGCCUCAGGCUCUGAGUUGGGUAAGAGACUCAAAGAGACCAUGGAUGCUGGAAAACUGGUCAGUGAUUCCAUGGUGGUUGAACUCAUAGAGAAUAACCUAGACACGGUCCCUUGUAAAAAUGGAUUUCUGUUGGAUGGAUUCCCCCGUACUGUCAAACAAGCAGAGAUGCUUGACGAGUUGUUGGAGAAGCGGACAGAGAAGCUGGACUCUGUGGUGGAGUUCUCUGUUGAUGACUCUCUUCUGGUGCGCAGGAUUUGUGGCAGACUCAUUCACCAGCCUAGUGGUCGUUCCUACCAUGAGGAGUUCAACCCACCCAAGGAGCGCAUGAAGGAUGAUGUGACCGGGGAGCCGCUGAUGCGCCGCAGUGAUGACAACGAGGCAACGCUGCAUUCUCGUCUGGAGGCCUACCACCGCCAGACUGUGCCCCUGGUGCAGUACUACAGCACCCGCGGCAUCCACACGGCCGUGGACGCCGCCCAGUCACCUGACGUUGUCUUCGCCUCCAUCCUCGCUGCCUUCUCUGCCUCCAGCCCUGCCUGUAAAGACCUGGUGCUCUUCAUCUAAACUCCCCUCCUCUUCCUCGCUCCCCGUUUCCUCCGUAUCUCAUCCCAGCUCCUCUCUGCCUCUAAACUCCCAACCUUCUCUUUCCCUCCAUUUUCUCUUCUGUCACUUGGACCAUCUACUCCAGGCUCCUCAAGACCCAGCACUUUUUAAAGGAACUUGUGGUCUACAGCUAGAAGCUAGACUAUAUUGGUUACUUUUACUGCUAUAUUUAAUGAUGCUCUUUUUCCCUGUGGCCUCAUUGGGCUUGUGGUACUUAUCACAUUGACAUGUCAUUGUGAGAACCACUGACACGUUGUAUAAAUAUUUAACAUGCUGUGAUUCCUCGACUCAGGAAUGCUGAGUUUGCAAGUGUAUUGUGAGCUCAUCUUUCGCACCUUAAGUGUGUGUGUGCUCUAUGGCAGAUGUAAGAUAGUUCCAUUGUUUUCUUUGGUCUGUUAACUGAAGUUCCUGUUGACCACAUGUCAACAUGUCCUGUGUUUUCAUCCAAUUACAGACUGAUCUGCUGUGGGCUUUUCUUUUUUGCACUCCCUUCCAAUAGUUACCCUGAAUGUAUUUGAUUGACAUCUUGGAUGUAGACUGUAAAACUGCUCAGAUGUUAACCUACCUGUCAGUCACCUCUCAGUAUAAAGCUAUUUUGGGUAUGUCUUGUUUAAACCUAGAUUAGCCAAGUUGUACACUUUGCGUUGAGUGAUGCUUCCCUCAAAAUCUUUUGGACACUAUUGGUUAGUAAUUCUUAAUGUGCUAAACCAUGUGGUAUAGGUUUCUGUGUAAA